UACGGAGGGUGCAAGCAUUGAUCGGAAUUACUGGGCGUAAAGGGCGCGUAGGCGGAUAGGAAAGUCAGAUGUGAAAUUCCGGGGCUCAACCUCGGAGCUGCAUUUGAAACUGUCUAUCUAGAGUUCAGUUAGGGAAAACGGAAUUCCACGUGUAGCGGUGAAAUGCGUAGAUAUGUGGAAGAACACCGGUGGUGAAGACGGUUUUCUGGGCUGAUACUGACGCUGAGGCGCGAAAGCAAGGGGAGCAAACAGG
rnacentral:rRNA from 1 species